UACGAAGGGUGCUAGCGUUGUUCGGAAUCACUGGGCGUAAAGCGCGCUUAGGCGGCUAUUCAAGUCAGAGGUGAAAGCCUGGAGCUCAACUCCAGAAUUGCCUUUGAAACUGUGUAGCUAGAGUGUCGGAGGGGAUAGCGGAAUUGCUAAUGUAGAGGUGAAAUUCGUAGAUAUUAGCAGGAACACCGGUGGCGAAGGCGGCUAUCUGGACGACAACUGACGCUGAGGCGCGAAAGCGUGGGGAUCAAACAGG
rnacentral:rRNA from 1 species